rnacentral:rRNA from 1 species
CAGUUGGAACGACUGCUAAUACCCGAUGUGCCGAGAGGUGAAAAGGUGAAUUCCGCCUGAAGAGGAGCUCGCGUCCGAUUAGCUAGUUGGUGAGGUAAAAGCUUACCAAGGCGACGAUCGGUAGCUGGUCUGAAAGGAUGAGCAGCCACACUGGAACUGAGACACGGUCCAAACUCCUACGGGAGGCAGCAGUGGGGAAUUUUCCGCAAUGGGCGAAAGCCUGACGGAGCAACGCCGCGUGGGGGAAGAAGGUUCUUGGAUUGUAAACCCCUUUUCUCAGGGAAAAAGUUCUGACGGUACCUGAGGAAUCAGCCUCGGCUAACUCCGUGCCAGCAGCCGCGGUAAUACGGAGGAGGCAAGCGUUAUCCGGAAUCAUUGGGCGUAAAGCGUUCGUAGGCGGCUGUUCAAGUCUGCUGUCAAAGACCGAGGCUCAACCUCGGGUCGGCAGUGGAAACUGGAUAGCUAGAGGUCGGUAGGGGCAA